ensembl:lncRNA
CUCAUGGAUGCUAGUCAGGAUCGUUAACCACUGAGCCACGAAGGGAACUCCCAUACUCAUUUCUAAACACAUUUCCGGUCAUGUAUUGCUCCUGUUUAAACUCUCUCCCCUUUCUAUUGCUGAAUUUGUGUCUUUUGGUUUGGGGGUUUGGGGGUUGUUUUAGUUCCCUAUCUAUUACUGAAUUAAAGCUAAACUCCUCAGUAUAUCCCUCUACAAAUAUUUUAUCUACCACCUGCUAUGCACAAAACACUCUGAUUUGUGUUGUCAAGUAUGCAAAAUACAUAAUCUAUGGUCUCCAUCCUUAAGGAGCCUGCACACCAAAGAAUGAUGCUGACGUGAAGAAACAAGCAAACACAGGGGAGUAAAAUCCAAUUUAGUCUGAAGAAUGAGACUGAGGAGGUUCCCAGAUUUAUAAUCUUGUUGCCUAGAUUUUAACUUGGCCUUAGGCCAAUGAAAGCUUUUUUCAACCCCACCCACACCCUAGUCCCCAAACCAGUUACUAAAACAAGGCAACUUCCCGACAUUCACCCUUGUCUGGUGACAAAGCCAGUCCUGGCUAACGAAGCUUUACCCGCACCUCAUAAAGCAGAAGAAAGCAAGCUGUCCUUGCUGGGAUCCACAGCUGAGACGACCAAGUACAGAGGUUUCAUGACUUACACAGAUCUUCCUCCUCAAGGAUGAGAGGAGGCAGAAAGGGAGUCCAGCACUUAGUAUUCCUUCUGAAGCUAAACUCAUCUCUGAAUAGGACUUAAAACUUUCGAUGCAUAAAGCGAUUUUAUUUGAAUAAGUAAAACAGAGAGUGAUCUAGGAAUAAACAAAUCCUAAGACACAAUUGUGACAGGAAGAGCUGUUUCAAAGAUUCAAAAUUAAAAAGCAAAAACCUGAGGCUAUUCUGAACAUCUGCUUCCAGGAAAUUUCAAACACUGAGAUUCGCUGCACCACGAAGAAAUGAUGAGGACAAGGCAGACGAUGCUGUCUGCAGCAGCUUCCAAAAAAUAACCUAACGUGUGGAAAUGCAUCUCGCCCAUGUAUUUCUUGUAUAUGUUCAUCAGUGCUAUGGAAUCGAUAGAGCAUUAUAUGACUGUUUUUGGAAACUAGUAUAAGGCCAUUCUGCGAUAUUUUAAGAAAAAAAUAAGAACUUCAUGGUUGGGGAGAGGAAAGGGGAAAGAAAAUUUAUCUUCUACUUUUACCUUUUUACAUUUUUGAAUUCCAUAACAUGUACAUAUAUAAUCAUUCCAAAAAUUUUAAACAAAAACUUCAUUUAUUAAAGUAGAUCAGCUGAUUACAGAUAUAUAAUGGCUUUAUUUUUUCCAAUAAGUUUCCCAAACACACACCAUUUUCCUGCUGAAUAGCAGCUCCCCAAAUACAUCUUGCCGAGUUAUGUACUUUUCAAAUAAAUACGGUUAUUACGACUGACUCAGCUACUUCAGACUCAGUCCUGCUCACUGAAGCACUUCAAUUGUAUUUUCCAUCAAAACUCAACUGUCCCAUGACCCAGAAGAAGCCAGACUCUGAGUUGUGGACGGAAAGCUAAGGGUGUUUGGUGGGGCCGGGGGGUGGGGCGGGAGAGGGAGACUGAGCUCUGGCUUUGUCGCCUCCACCCCUUCCUUCUAGGUGUGAGCGUCUCUGGAACCGGGGCAGGGAGGAAGCAGGAAAAAGCAAGAGCAGCGCCUCCCGUGCCUGAGCAACUGUCCUCUCCUCGCUUGACGGUAACUCCUAGUCUGGACUGCUGUUUAUGGGCUCCGUGAGGACCAGGGGUGGCUGAAGAGUCCCCUCGGGAGAGAGAUUGGGUUACAUCCUUUAGCAGAUGCUGCCCUGGUGCCCCCCCGCCAUCCUCUUUGUGCCCACACUGCUUGGAUCUUGGGACAGCUGCGACUCCCGGCAGAGGUAUCUCGGGUCUGCAGGCCUGAGGCCGUCCUCAUCCCCCCUGCUACGGAGGCGCCUCCCCCUCCACCUGGAUUCGGUUCCGCUCGUGCCAUUUCCGCCCGGGUCUCUCUCCCCACAUUCCCACAGCACACGCGGCGCAUCGGCAGGUCUGCUGCUUAAGACGGGAAUACAGCCAGGGAACAAAAUGUCUGUUUACUUUUCUUUUCAAGUGAUUCAUUUGCACUCCCCUCCCUCACACACUUGACCUGAGAGAAGGAAUGACUCUGUACAUUCACUCCCAAAGGCUGUCUGCCUCUCCCCCAAAGUCCCCUGGGAGUCAUGGGUGGUUGGGUCUGUUCCCUAACUAAGGGCUUCUCAGUGAGCCCUGCAGGGUGGCUGACCCCACUGCUGGUGACCCUAUAAAUUUAGGAUAUGGAACACCUCGUGCCUUUUGUCUUUGGUUUAGGUGUGAACAGCAGUUACACAGCAAAAAGAAAAUUCCUGGGAGUUCCUGUCAUGGCUCAGUGGUUAACGAACCCGACUAGUAUCCAUGAGGAUGCAGGUUCGAUCCCUGGCCUCGUUCAGUGGGUUAAGGAUCCGGAGUUGCCACGAGCUGUGGAGUAGGCUGCAGACACAGCUAGGAUCUGGCAUCGCUGUGGCUAUGGUGUAAGCCGGCAGCUACAGCUCUGAUUUGACCCCUAGCCUGGAAACCUCCAUAUGCCAUGGGUGCAGGCCCUAAAAAGACAAAAAAGAAAGAAAAGAAAAGUCCCCCUGAAUAUCUUGUAAUGUUUGUCAAUGGUUUCCAUCAUCCAAAUAUAAUUCAGGUAUCACCAUAAUUUCAGUUCUAAAUGAUUAGAAUGUUUUUGGUAACAAUGGUUAUCAAACUAGCUCACAUCAAACCAUGUAGAAGGUGGUGUUUUUUUUUUUAAAUACAGAUAUCCAUCCCAGAUCCACUUGAUCAGAAUGUCCAGGGCUAGGGGCAGGGAAUCUGCAACUGAUUCAAAUACAAGUAGCCUGAUGUUUAGAAACUUCUGGGUGAGAACUCAAAAAAAAAAAAGAGAGAGAGAGACAGAGAGACAGAGGGAGAGAUUUAGACAAAAAGUCAAGAAAUGAUUUAGGUUAAUACAUAAGUCCCAUGGACAGAGACUGUAUCUAUGUGAUUCACUUUUGCAGCCCACCACUGAGAAUAGUGUCACGCAUAUAGCAGCCUUCCGGUAAAUACUCUUGCAGGAAUGAACUGAUGCGUGGAGCAUUUCCAUUUCACGGGGACUCAACUAUCCAUCUCACCAGCGUGUACCACAACACAAAGUGGGAAGACAAGAAUCUACCGAAAGUAAAUGUCUGCUCUGCAGUCAUCAUGAUAUAAACAAAGACGACUUUUUUGAACUCAGAUGUAGCUAAGAGAUGUAGGUGAGACCAAGCAUGUUACUUAGGCUGACUGGCCAAUGGGGUGAGACUUCUCUGGUCCGUUCCACCCCCAUGACGAGAUUGUGACGAGGCAGGAUCCGGAUCUGACCAGGAGGGAAGAGACGGGAACAAAGGUGUGGGGUUGGAAGAGCUCCACGACGGCCAGGCUAACAAUGACUUGGUGCAUCCUUUUCCACCAUAACAAAAUGGGUCUGGGAUGUAAACCGCUAACACAAUUGAACCACUUCAACAAAGGAUGCUGAAAAAAUUCCCCCUCGCUGGCUACCUUUUCUCCAGACUCCCUUCUGUUCAUCAAACUCAGGAGUUGACCAGUGUUUGCCUCAGCAAGUUAUAAAGUAAUUGAUUCUAUUCGAGCCCAGCACAUUACAGACAUGUUUAAAACCCCUUCCUCUGAAAAGACACUCAGAUCCCCUUCAUUAUCGUGUGUGGUAAGCAAUCAGAUGAGUCAAUAAGGCAAAGAAAAAACUAACGGAUGUCUCGGGAUUGUUUUGAGAGGGUGACGGCUGUUGUUAGGGGUUAUUGUACUAGAGCUGUUGAUACGAUUGCUAUAGACUCACCAAGGAAAGAUGACAGUUCUUUUCCCCACUCUGCUAAAGCAAAGAGGAAGCACUGGUUUCUAAAAGCUGAGGUCACUGCUCUCCCCUCACCAGGAAGGAAGUCAACAGCUCUUGUGUCUGAGGUAGACGGAUGGAGAUUCAGCAUGAUUCCCGGGUGGAAGUGGUGUGAGGAGAGAUGGCAGAAGCUGCCGCCAGGGAGGGGAAAGCAUCUCUAACGUGGAACGGGAAAAGAAUUGGGGUGGUCAAAAAAUGCCAAGCCGUGGUCUCUCCUGGCACAAAACGCCCAGGGUUGGCGGGAGGCUGGGGCUGCAUGGCCCAAGAGGGAGGCUCAAAACCAGGCCAAGCAGCCUUAGCAGAAGAUCCCACCAACCAGGGAGAAAGAGUGAGAGAAGAACAGCCUCACGACAUGGAUGAAACUUGAAAGACAUUACACCAACCGGAAUAAGCCACACACCGAAAGACAGAUAUUACAUUAUUCUAUCCAGAUGGGGUACCUGAAGUAAUCACUUGCAUAGGGACAGAAGGUAGAAUAGUGGUUACCAAGGGCUGGAGGGAGGGGGGUAUGGGAGGUCAGUUUACGGGGUGCAGAGCUGUAGUAACGAAUGAAGAAUACAUUCUGGAUAUGAAGAGUGGCGAUGGUGGCACAACACUGCGAAUGGACUCAUGCCACUCAACUGUGCACUUAAAAUAAUAAAAACGGUAAAUUCUAUGUUGUGUAUAUUUUACCAUGGUCAAAUAAAUAACCUUUUUAAAUGACUUAUUUGCAACAUGAAAAGAAAAAGUAAAGCACUGAGAGUUUGGUGGGAAAUUAGAGAUCUCCCAAAUUAACUAUACUUCAAUAAAACUUAAUAAAAUAAAACAAGAGCUCUCCAUCAGCACUCAUUCUUUUGAGAUUCCUAACUAGCUGGCGAAAGAGCUCCCCUACUGAGAUUUCAUAAGCCUAAAUAUUUGCCGAGGACGUACCUUUGUUCUUCCUAGUUCUUGGCUCUCGUUUCUUCUAAGCCACUUGGUGGCCUGACUCUGAAUAAUAUACUUUAAAAUAAAGUUUGUAAGUGGUUUAGAGCCAAGGAGUUCUGAACAAAUACAGUUCACCAA